rnacentral:misc_RNA from 1 species
CCAUCGUUUGAGUCAGGUUGUCUGUCUGUGUGUCUGUGUCAUCAGUACGUGUAACGAAGGCACCCCCGACCCACAAGCAGGACGAAAGAGAACGCGAUCAACACUCUCAGUGCACUCUACCUUCCUUGAAAAAGAGCUGUCCCUUCCGUGCUCUCUUGCCUAUUCUUUGUGUCUGUUUUUUCCGAUUGCGUGCCUGUGCAUAUUGACUCCUCUGUCUCCGUCACUCCGCACAGUCUACAUCGACCUUUUUCUUGUGUGUGUUUCUUGUCCUUCCUCUAGUGCGCUGUCGCCAGCGUCUCCUCCCUUGAUUUAGGCUUGUCAUAAUAACAUCUCCAACCCCCACACACACACACUACCGCUCAAACACGCACACCGGCCUUUGGAGUUGUCAAUCUCAACAGAAAACGUACCUCUACAUUUUUCUAUUGUUUCUUCCUGUCUAGCUCGCCGACUCCUCGUCUUCCUCCACACCCAUCAGCGUCUCUCGGCUCCUCCUCUCUCAUCUGGGCACGGAGAACACCUCCCUUCGCCACCAGGCAUACUUCGUUGAAAAGAAGUAUGAAGCACGCGUAGACAAGUGCAAUCGUGCAACCCGUGGACACCAUAACGCUAACCCCUCCCCCUCCAACAACGAAAAAAAGAAAACAGAAUUGUCUCUUACCCUAUUUUUUAUCGUUGUUUUGGGUUACUUUGUUAUUUUCUAUUCUUUCCUUCUCUUAUCUCUCUGCCUCUCUCGACAUCCCAUCGUCGUCCCUCGGUGUUUUUCUGUCGCUCCCUCUCCCUCCGUUUCUUCCUUUUUCUUUGUGGGGAGGUAAGAGAGUGUCAUGCGAGCGGGUGUGACUUUUGUAUGUUAGCAUCACUGGUUUCCCCUGUCCCCUUUUCCCCACGCUUUCCUUGCGCGCUCUCCUUUUUGGACUUCGCCGUUUUGCGCACGUGACACUGACAGCAUCAUUGACGCUCGCAGGUGAAGCCGGUGGUGCGAAGCAAAGAAAAACCCGCUGAAAAGGUCGCGAGCAGCACGCACUCCCCUCCCCCUCCUCCUCUCUCCCCUCCACCUUUUCCGGUCGCCAUUGCAGUACUUUCCACCGAACGGUAAGAGCUGCUGCACUCGUCCCCUUGGGCUCGGUAUGCCUCGCCAGCAUCAUCAUCUUCACGUUGGUGGCACCGUGUCGGCAGCCGUCCGUGCGCUCGCCGUCGCCGUCGCCGCCCUCGUCAUCUCUGCAGGUGCCGCAGCAGCCAUCAAGGUGAGCUUCGUCUCCGAUGUGCACUACGAUCCAGCUUACGGUACGGCUAGCGCCCAUGGCACCUGCAACACCACGUCGGCCUCGCCCUUUGGCCAGCCCGGCUGUGACUCACCCGCAGCGCUCCUGGCCAUUGCCACCAGCGACAUCAUGAUGCAGCGCCCCACCUACACGUUCUUCGCGGGUGAUUGGCAGCGGCAUGGUAUGAGUUCCACGUCGCUGACAACGUCCGACGUGUUUGAGCCGCUGUCGCAGUACUUUGCGCGCAUCAUGGAUGUCUCUAAGGACCCUAGCUUCAACAGACCGCCCAUGACGACCGUCCUCGGCAACAACGACGUCAUUCCAAACUACUUCUUCAACAUCACGGCCACCCCGCACACCACCCUGAAUACGCAGAUCGGCAUAAUGGAGCAUUACAAGCUGCUGAACACGACGCAAGGAACGGUGAUGUCCGAGUGCGGCUACUACAGCGGCAUCGCCAGCGCUCAUCUGCGCGUACUGGGCGUGCACACCCUGGUGUGGACAUACAAUCUGUCACCGGCCCUUCCCGACACCGAGACGGACCCGUGUGGACAGCUGGCCUGGAUGGAGAGCGAGAUCAACGCGGCUCGCGCUGCAGGGCAGAAGGUGAUCAUCAUUGGUCACAUCCCUCCACAGCCCGAUGUCUUCCGCGUAAUCAACCGCGGCGCCGUCGGCCCCGUGGAGGACGACAUGUACUGGAAGCCCAUGUACCAGAACGCCUACACCUCCCUGCUGUCGAGCAACAGGGACAUCAUUGUCCUUCAGCUCUUCGGUCACAGCCACCGCUUUGCUGUCCUCGGCGACGAGGAGAUGGGGGUGCCGCUCAUCGUCAUCAACGCCAUGACCCCGCUGUACGGCAACCAGCCCGCGUACCUCAUCGGCGACUUCGACACGGCCACGUGGAAGCUCAAGACCUUGAGGCAGCGGUUUGCCCAAGCCGCCUUUGUUCAAUGGAGCAGUGGUCUGGAGGUGGCCGCCGCCCUUGGCAUCACCGAUUUUUCCAAUGUCUCGGCGAUUCAUGCGGCAGUGGCGAAGAUGUUCGCAAACGACACACUGUUUGAGAACUACAUGACCCUCCGCACCGGUGGCGUGGUCGACGACCCGUGCACGACGACGUUCUGCCGCGUGUACACGGUUUGCGCGAUGCUCUACGCCACGCACGACAACAUCAACAGCUGCGUGCGCUCGCAGAUCCCGUCGUCGUCGUCGUCAUCGGAGCCAAUAGACAGCAGCGACAGCGCCCCGACCCCGACCCCUGACCCGUCUAUGCACAUCGAUUCAAAGCCACAGUACCACAUCCGUCCGCCGACGAACUGGAUCAACGACCCCAACGGCCCCUACCGCGACCCCGUCACCGGCAAAAUUCACCUGUACAUGCAGUACAACCCCAACGGUCCGCUCUGGGGUGACAUUGCAUGGUACCACGUGACGUCGGACGACUACGUCAAGUGGACGAUCCCGAGCACGCCGAUCGCGAUGUACGCCGACAGGUGGUACGACAAGUGGGGCGCCUACUCCGGCACCAUGAUGAACAACAACUACAGCGAGCCGGUCAUGGUGUACACCUGCACCGAGCCGGAGAACAUCCAGCGGCAGUGCGUCGCGACCAUCUCGCCGAGCGACCUGGCCGGCAAGCGCACACUGAGCUUCUUCGAGAAAAGCCCGCUGAAUCCCAUCCUCACCGAGGAGAGCGUGCCCGGGCUGGUGGGUCUGGGCAACUUCCGCGACCCGACGGAGUGGUGGCGGGACCCCGCCAACCCCAGCCAGUGGCUCAUCGCGUUCGCAGCCCGCAUCAAGGACAGAGACGGCGACAACGCGCACAUCGUCCUGUUCAGCACCACCGACCCCAGCUUCCAGAGCGGCUACAGCUUCUCCCACAGCCUCUACGUCUACAAGUACGACCUGGACCACAUGUUUGAGUGUCCCGACUUCUUCACGCUGAAACAGGGCGGCGAGCACUACCUCAAGGUCUCCACCAUGCCCUCGCACCGCGACUACAUCGUCUACGGCUCCUACCAGGCUGACCCGGUGACCGGCAAGUACGUCUUCAUCGCGGACCCCGCGCGCAGCUUCACCUUCAUCGACUACGGCCCGUUCUACGCCUCCAAGACCUUCUACGACCCCAUCCUCAAACGCCGCAUGAUGUGGGGCUGGACCAACGACGAGCUGAGCAACGAGCAGAUCACCUCGCAGGGCUGGUCUGGUGUGCAGAACCUGCUGCGCGGCAUCGAGUACGACAGCGUCGAGAAGAAGAUCAAGACGUACCCGAUCGCGGAGCUGAAGGGGCUGCGUCUGAGCCACCUCUAUUCGCGUCCGGAGACCGACCCGCUCGUGCUGGUGGAUGGCACGCCACAGAUCCUCAUCACGGCCGGCACGAAUGCCACUCGUCAGCACGAGAUUAUCGUCACCUUCAAGCUUUCCAGCAUGGAUUCCUUCAAAGGAAACACCUACUACACCGAAAGUGCCGCGCCCGAGUUCGGUGUGAUGAUCCGUACCAACGCGGACCUCAGCCAGUACACGACCGUCUCGGUACGCAUGCCGGCGGCGGUGCGGCAGCCGAUCUCCAACCGCGCGCAGGACACGACGUGGGCACCCAUCAAGAUGUACCCUGGCUCUGGCACCAAUGCCGCGAGCAACUGUAGCGCGGAAUGCGCAAAGGAGCGCACGUGCGUUUCGUGGACGUACACCACCUCGCCGUCAUCGACGUGCGCCCUGUACUGGAAGACGAGCCGGCGCGUGUACAACGCGACCGCGCACAGCGGCACAGUGAACAUCCCCUUGCUAUAUAUGGACCGCACCCAUUCCGGCUCUAUCGGUUCCCGACAGCCUCUCCUUGGCCGCUCGCCUGUGAAGCAGACGAACCCUAACGUGGUGCGUCUGCACAUCUUCGUUGACGACAGCGUCAUCGAGGUCUUCAAGGAUGGCGGUCUGGAGACCAUGACUGGUCGCCUCUACCUCCCUGGCGGCGAGUCGCAGACGGGCAUCGCUGUGUACAGCAAGAACAUGGGCAGCAUCACCGUCACCGCCUCAGCCGAGAUCUUCUCGAUGGACUCAGCGUUUGCCGCGGAGGCUGGCCCUAAUUUGAUCCGCACCUACACAAACAGCUACUACAACCUACUGUCAGCUCUGGGUGUCGCCAGCUAGGAUGAACGUGGCGCGCUCGGAGGCACGCUAGCAGACGAAGGCGGGUGGAGAGUAAACCGCGUCUCCAAGGCUCGCCCGUGCCCAGGCCUCCAUCGUGCCGACAGCACACAUAUGAGGGGUCGGGCCUCCCCCCUCCUCGCUGUGUUGGGGCUUUAUUCACCUCUUGCUUUUUUUUCGGUUGUACGGCAGCUCCAUGUGUGGCACAUUUUUUAGCUGUCUGUUUCCUCGGUGGCGCAGGACGUGUGCACAUGCCGGGUGACGGUGCCGUCACAACGCUCCCGCAGCUCUCCCGCUGGGGUAUGCAGGCAGCGACUCUUCCGCCUCGCGAGGCUCCCUUACCCGGUGUUGACAGGUGGUGCGACGCAGACAGACAUCAAGUCAGGCGCGGCCGCGAUGCUCCACGCUACUAACACACUCAUGCACACGGCAACAGCAGUCCGUGACCCCCUUGCCCGCAGCGAUCACACUGAGUGUGAAGCAGUGGAGCUGGGGCUUGACGUGCUGCGGGCUCGCCCUACCUCCUCAUGGUGCUCGGCACGGGCCCUACAGCGAUGGAGGGUGGCAUGUCGCGACGUACCUGGGCACCGGCGCUUGCGCUGCUGGCCCGCCGCCUUCGCGCUUCCGCUAGUCGCUGCGCGUUGUGAAGUGGAGCGCAGGGGGGGGGGCGAAGCUGGCAAGGUGGCGAUAAACCGGCAACGGCAGAGUAGCUGCCGCCAUCUCCACGCAUUACGGGACCCGGUCACCGAUCUCAGGCGCCAAGCCGGCAUCCUCUAUUACCCGCACGACGGACGCCACCGUCUCCGCCCUCGAGCAGGACCCUAGACGGGGUAGGACAGGAAGAGCCCGUACGAUGCAUGGCGCCAAUUCGACGGCAGAUGGCUCGUCCUAGAGGACCAGGGAUGCAGCCGUGGUGCAGCAGAGGUACUACGGUGAGCUGUGGUUGUGUGUCCGCGUAAACUCUUGGCUGGCGUGUUCGUGGUGAUGAACGGAGCACGUUCAGCGCACACGUUCAACAAAAGGAGCGCUCUUUCCGCGUUCAGAUAUUUUUUGUUUGUUUUCGUUUUGGCACUUUUCGCAAUUUAAGUUUGGGCGUGUGUACGUAAUGAACGAGAGACGUGUGGUGUGGAAGGGCCCUGGAGCGGAAGCGAACAGCAAAGAGGCGAAGGGCAACGCUCUUGUUCGGCUCGGCACCUCCUCCACUCAUCAUACAGACGUGCACGCGGAGGAUGAGACGAAAACGACAUUGCCCUCACUCUUCUCCGCUUCUGCCCAUGCACUCUCUCUACUUGGUGCCGGUGCGCAUGGCAUCAACGAAGGGGCGCAGAGAUUUGCAGGAGAAGCUGCGCGUACAAGUCGGCCACGUCUUUUUCUCUCCCCCUCCCCUCCCCUCCCCUCUAUUCCUUUCCUUUUGUACUCUGCUGCCUGUGUAGCGGUUCCGCCCCCCCCCCCCCGCCCUCACAUGCACGCACAUAAACUGAUAAGAUAAAGUCAGCACGCGAUCGUGUUCGUCCAUCUCAGGUAGACGCCAGAAUAGUAGCGGGGGGGAGACAGCUGGCGUGUUCAAGCGCUGGCUCCGCGAAGCCUCACAGGGGAGUCUUUCCGCUCUUUCCUUUAUUGCCUCUUGCCGCUGUGACGCGCUUGCGCACGCGGCCAAG